rnacentral:rRNA from 1 species
GUGCAGCAGGCGAGAAACCUUUACAAUGCCUGAAGGGUGAUAAGGGCAUCCUGAGUGCUCCAGCAUUGCUGGGGCUUUUCCGGAGUGUAAAAAGCUCCGGGAAUAAGUGGUGGGUAAGACGGGUGCCAGCCAUUUACAUGUCUUACAAUUAAAACUCUAAGUUUCAAAGGCAUGUAAACUGGAAGCCGCGGUAAUACCCGCGCCACAAGUGGUGAUCACGGUUAUUGGGUCUAGAGCGUUCGUAGCCGGCCUAAUAAAUUCUUGGUGAAAUCCCGUGUAAAACAUGGGAAGAGCUAAGAACACUAUUAGGCUAGGGACCAGGAGAGGCUGAGGGUACUCCAAGGGUAGGGGUUAAAUACUGAAAG